rnacentral:rRNA from 1 species
GCCAGACUCCUACGGGAGGCAGCAGUCGGGAAUAUUGCGCAAUGGCGGAAACUCUGACGCAGUGACGCCGCGUAUAGGAAGAAGGUUUUCGGAUUGUAAACUAUUGUCGUUAGGGAAGAGAAAGGACAGUACCUAAGGAGGAAGCUCCGGCUAACUACGUGCCAGCAGCCGCGGUAAUACGUAGGGGGCAAGCGUUAUCCGGAUUUACUGGGUGUAAAGGGAGCGUAGACGGCUGUGCAAGUCUGAAGUGAAAUGCCGGGGCCCAACCCCGGAACUGCUUUGGAAACUGUACAGCUAGAGUGCAGGAGGGGUGAGCGGAAUUCCUAGUGUAGCGGUGAAAUGCGUAGAUAUUAGGAGGAACACCGGUGGCGAAGGCGGCUCACUGGACUGUAACUGACGUUGAGGCUCGAAAGCGUGGGGAGCAAACAGGAUUAGAUACCCGCGUAC